ensembl:Mt_tRNA mt-Td mitochondrially encoded tRNA aspartic acid
AAGAUAUUAGUAAAAUCAAUUACAUAACUUUGUCAAAGUUAAAUUAUAGAUCAAUAAUCUAUAUAUCUUA